AGUGAACGCUGGCGGUAGGCCUAACACAUGCAAGUCGAACGGCAGCACAGUAAGAGCUUGCUCUUACGGGUGGCGAGUGGCGGACGGGUGAGGAAUACAUCGGAAUCUACUUUUUCGUGGGGGAUAACGUAGGGAAACUUACGCUAAUACCGCAUACGACCUACGGGUGAAAGCAGGGGAUCUUCGGACCUUGCGCGAUUGAAUGAGCCGGUGUCGUAUUAGCUAGUUGGCGGGGUAAAGGCCCACCAAGGCGACGAUCCGUAGCUGGUCUGAGAGGAUGUGCAGCCACACUGGAACUGGGACACGGUCCAGACUCCUACGGGAGGCAGCAGUGGGGAAUAUUGGACAAUGGGCGCAAGCCUGAUCCAGCCAUACCGCGUGGGUGAAGAAGGCCUUCGGGUUGUAAAGCCCUUUUGUUGGGAAAGAAAAGCAGCAGGUUAAUACCCCGCUGUUCUGACGGUACCCAAAGAAUAAGCACCGGCUAACUUCGUG
rnacentral:rRNA from 1 species